rnacentral:rRNA from 1 species
UACGUAGGGUGCAGGCGUUAAUCGGAAUUACUGGGCGUAAAGCGUGCGCAGGCGCCUCUUAAGUCAGAUGUGAAAUCCCCGGGCUUAACCUGGGACUGCGUUUGAAACUGGGAGGCUUGAGUGUGGAAGAGGGGGGGUGGAAUUCCAGGUGUAGCAGUGAAAUGCGUAGAGAUCUGGAGGAACACCGAUGGCGAAGGCAGCCCCCCUGGGCUAACACUGACGCUCAUGCACGAAAGCGUGGGGAGCAAACAGGG